ACACUUAUGCAUGUGGGAAACUAAUGGCACAUGAGUUGUUUCUAAAGUGAGCAAGAAAUAUUAGUUCCCAAACGGAAAGUGUAGUCCAAUUCCUUCACAUUUUCCAGUUACUUCUUGCUCUCUUCUAUUUAUGUCAUUGGAAGGGAGGAUCUCAUUAAUUUGUUGCUCUUUAUCUUCUUCUUUUCAGUUCCCUGCUUUGUUUAUGAUUGCAUCAUUAUCUCUACGAGCUCUGCUGCUGGCCAAUUUUUAUUUUUUUCACAAUUGAAAAUUUUGGACCUGUUGUUUUUACAAUCUUCAUGACAGUGAGGCAGGUGCUGUCUGUAUUACUAUCGUGUUAUAGCUACUCACACACCGUCAGUAAUAUCAGCAUCAUAGGUGUAAUUUUAAUAUUCAUUGCCACUUUCCUACGGUUGUACUGUGAUCAACGGAUGAAAACAUCAAAGAGACGCAAUCAUCCUCUACUAUCAACCCCUGUCUAAUCAUUCUCCGUUUACUACAGAUGGCUCAAUGUUGAUGGGCGGAUAGUCCUAUGAACCAGAAUUGUCUGUACUUGACCGUGAUACCUACUUGACACACUUGAAAUUGAAAGGAAUUCAUCGUUAAUGUGCUGCAGAAAUGUUAAAUGUAACCACCGACACCGGACUUAUUUCAUUUUAGGUAUCCUGGUCAAGUUUAAUUUUUAGUUUAUAUCCUUUAAAAUAGUUAUGUUCAAUACUGUGACAGAAAUUUUGGCUUAUUAGCUGCUGGUUUGAAUGGAUGGGUCGUCUUCCAAAUUUAAAAAAGUAAACUCAAGAAAGUAUUGUCUCGGAAAAUUGUCCAACUUUCUUUAUUCACUUAUCUUGAGAAGGAAAGAUGAACCCAUCUUAUUACAAGCUUUUUGUGCACUAUUUUACGAAUAGGAAGUUAUGUUCUUCCGUAUUUAAGACAACGUUUGUUUGCUGUACCUAAAUUACUACAUCUGAGGGGCUUGGAAGACAAGGCACACAAGUGGGUGAAUUCAAAUAAGCGUCUAAUCUGGUGUCCCCAGUUGUUUUAAUCGUCAUAAUCUGAGAAACAUGGGCAGAUCAAAUUUUUUUCUCAUUUUCCACACUAUUGUUGACUAUCACAUGCUAUUUCCCACUUUAUUUGGACUGAAAUAAAAAUUUAGAGGGACUUUGAAUGUGCAAAUUGCCUACAUUUGUCCCAAAUUUGCUUGUCCCCCGUUCUUGACUUUAAAUCGAUGUUGCAGCCUAACUAGAGUGAUUAUUUAAGAAAACUUUAUCGGAGAUGAUAGGUAAUGCUUUUGAAUUUGAGAAAAAAAAUAUGUCAAUUUCUUUUUUGAUCCAUCAAUAACUUUUUCACGCGCUAGAAUCAUUGUCCCGAGCAACAGUCAGGAGAGACAUGGCAACAAUGUAAUAAGCUUUAAAUGAUUGCCGUAACGUUGAGGUUUUUCCAAAAACGACUUUUUUUGUUUCGAUUGAAUAGUUCACAUGUCGCAGAUGGCAGAAAUUCUAAAAAUCGCAAAUUUUUGUGCAAGAUUAACGCCAUUAACAAUGCCAAACAAAAUGCUAUACACGAUAACUAACAGGGCGUCAAGCAUACACACACACACUAAUAUCAGCUUGUAAAAUACUUUCGAAGUGUGCGUUAGGGAAAAUUUUUUCUUAUUCCGAUACUCCAGGAUGUGCUACUAAAUAUUCCGUGAAAAUAACACCAAAAUUGUCUAUACUGUUAGAGAUAAGCUUAAAAAACAGCUUAUUUCCAUCCUGUCCCAUAGUUCUCCAUCCUGUCCCAGUGUCCCAGUUUAAUGGGACAGAGUGGAAAACUGUUACAACUGAGACUUGCUUGUUUAAGCCCUGUAGGCGCUCUUUUCUACCGAUUUAAGUGAAACUUGGUAUCGGGGGGUAUUUUUCAAUGGGGAACACGAAUUUUUAGUCGAAUUUUGAAAAUUCGAAAAUCCAAGAUGGCGGACAUGACCUAAAAUGCUAUCGCAGCGCCUAAUCAAUUGAGACUUGCUUGUUUAAGCCUGUAUGCGUUCUUUUCGACCGAUUUAAGUGAAACUUGGUACCGGGGGGUAUUUUUCAAUGGGGAACUCGAAUUUUUAGUCGAAUUUUGAAAAUUCGAAAAUCCAAGAUGGCGGACAUUACCUAUAAUGCUAUCGCAAAGCCUAAUCAACUGAGACUUGUUUGUGUAAGCCCUGUAGGCGCUCUUUUCUACCGAUUUAAGUGAAACUUGGUAUCGGGGGGUAUUUUCAAUGAGGAACUCGAAUUUUCAGUCGAAUUUUGAAAAUUCGAAAAUCCAAGAUGGCGCACAUGGCCUAAAAUGCCAUCUCAGUGCCUAAUCAAUUGAUUUGUACAGCCGUGGCACUUGUAGGUCGUUCUUGGUAGGGCAUUCCCGCGAGGCGUGGUUUCCGGCGCAGUAGCGGCAGAUGUCUUGGCCUACUGCCCUGACACAUUUCUCCUGAGUAUGCCCCAGCAGUU
rnacentral:lncRNA from 1 species